GCCGGGCGUGGUGGCCCAUGCCUGUAAUCCCAGCUACUUGGGAGGCUGAGGCAGGAGAAUCGCUUGAAUCUGGGACGCGGAGGUUGCAGUGAGCCGAGAUCGCACCACUGCACUCCAGCCUGGACAACAGAGUGAGACUCUGUCUCAA
ensembl:misc_RNA Metazoa_SRP Metazoan signal recognition particle RNA